rnacentral:rRNA from 1 species
AGAGUUUGAUCCUGGCUCAGGACGAUCGUUGGCUGUGUGCCUAAGGUAUGCAAGUCGAACGAACCCUUUUGAAUUACUUGAAACUUCGGUUGAUUGUUUUUCUUUUUUGGGUUAGUGGCAAACGGGUGAGUAACACGUGGAUAACCUGCCUUGAAGUCAUGAACAGCUCAUCGAAAGAUGGGAUAAUACAUGAUAGUCUUACAUCUUCUUUAGAUCUUGUAAGUAAAGUUACGGCGCUUCAAGAGGGGUCCGCGUCCUAUCAGCUAGUUGGUGAGGUAAUGGCUCACCAAGGCAAUGACGGGUAGGCGGAGUGAGAGCUUGACCGCCAACAAUGGCACUGAGACACGGGCCAUACUCCUACGGGAGGCAGCAGUCGAGAAUAUUUGACAAUGGGCGAAAGCCUGAUCAAGCGACGUCGCGUGUGGGAUUAAGAUCUUCGGAUUGUAAACCACUUUUCUAGGGGAAGAACUUUGACUGUACCCUAGGAAUAAGGGGUGACUAAACUCGUGCCAGCAGUAGCGGUAAUACGAGUGCCCCAAGCGUUAUCCGGAUUUAUUGGGCGUAAAGGGUCUGUAGGUGGUUUGUUAAGUUUCUCGUUAAAGCUCCAGGGCUUAACCUUGGAAAAGCGGGAAAAACUGGCAAACUAGAGGAUGUUAGAGGCUGAUGGAACACUUGGUGAAGGGGUGGAAUCCGUUGAUAUCAAGUGGAACACCGAAAGCGAAAGCAAUCAGCUGGGACAGUCCUGACACUGAAAGACGAAAGCGUGGGGAGAGAAAAGGAUUAGAUACCCUUGUAUUCCACGCCUUAAACGAUGAAUACUAGCUAUUGCAAGUGUCGACCCUUGCAGUGGCGAAGCUAACGCGUUAAGUAUUCCGCCUGGGAAGUACGGCCGCAAGGCUAAAACUCAAAGGAAUAGACGGGGACCUACACAAGCGGUGGAUCACGUGGCUUAAUUCGAUAAUAAGCGAGGAACCUUACCAGGGCUUGAAAGGUUAAUGAAAGCAUUUCGAAAGAUUUGCCUACCCACAAGGACAUUAACCCAGGUGCUGCAUGGUUGUCGUCAGCAGGUGGCUUGAGUUGCUCCCUUAAAUGGGGUAACCUGCGCAACCCUUGCUCUAUGUUUCAUGUGUCAUAGAGGACUGCCUGGGACAACCAGGAGGAAGGUGAGGAUGACGCCAAAUCAGCAUGGCCCUUUGAUGUCCUGGGCUGCACACGUGAUACAAUGGGAUUGACAACGGGAAGCGAAAGAGUAAUCUGGAGCAAAUCCUAUCAAACAAUUCCUCAAUUCGGAUUGAGGUCUGAAACUCGACCUCAUGAAGUCGGAAUCGCUAGUAACCGCAGAUCAGCCAUGCUGCGGUGAAUAUGUCCCUGGGUCUUGUACACACC